rnacentral:rRNA from 1 species
AGAGCGAACGCUGGCGGCAGGCCUAACACAUGCAAGUCGAGCGCCGUAGCAAUACGGAGCGGCAGACGGGAGAGUAACACGUGGGAACGUACCUUUCAGUUCGGAACAACCCAGGGAAACUUGGGCUAAUACCGGAUACGCCCUUACGGGGAAAGAUUUAUCGCUGAAAGAUCGGCCCGCGUCUGAUUAGCUAGUUGGUGGGGUAACGCCCACCAAGGCUACGAUCAGUAGCUGGUCUGAGAGGAUGAUCAGCCUCACUGGGACUGAGACACGGCCCAGACUCCUACGGGAGGCAGCAGUGGGGAAUAUUGGACAAUGGGCGCAAGCCUGAUCCAGCCAUGCCGCGUGGAUGAUGAAGGCCCUAGGGUUGUAAAGUCCUUUCGGCGGGGAAGAGUAAUGACGGUACCCGCAGAAGAAGCCCGGCUAACUUCGCGCCAGCAGCCGC